rnacentral:rRNA from 1 species
UACGUAGGUGACAAGCGUUGUCCGGAUUUACUGGGCGUAAAGCGAGUGUAGGCGGUUUGGUAAGUCGGAUGUGAAAGCCCCGGGCUCAACCCGGGAAGUGCACUCGAUACUGCCAAGCUAGAGUAUCGGAGAGGUUGGUGGAAUUCUCGGUGUAGAGGUGAAAUUCGUAGAUAUCGAGAGGAACACCGGUGGCGAAGGCGGCCAACUGGACGAAUACUGACGCUGAGACUCGAAAGCGUGGGGAGCAAACAGG